AAGCCAUCAUUCCCUUCUCUGGACUACUGCGACAGCCCCUCACCAUUUCCACUUCUGCAAUCUCCAUGGAGCAGCCAGAGUGAUUUCAACAAACACAUGGGUUUAUUACAUCAUCUCCUGGCUCACAGCCCUUCAGGGGGCCUUUGCUCUGUAGCUACCAGCCCUAACUGACGGGAGCUCCCCAAAUAUACAUCCAAGACCUCCUCUCCAACGGCUCACCCUCCGCCAUGACCCAGACACAUUAGAGCCAUAAAACUCAGAAUGAAUUACGAUUCCACGAGGUACAGAUGAGAAAAAUGAAUCACGUAUGCUUCACGGGAAGUGACUUCAUCAUUUCCAACAAGUGGCCAUGGAAGUAGAGUUUGCCAUCACUGGCUGAAAAGAUGUCUGUCACAAAAGAGAGCUGCGCCCAACUGAGGCCACCAGGCCACAUCUCAGAGCCUUCUUUUCCCCAUACUUGAGAACCCCCACUUCCGAGGCCGGAUGACUUCAGGGUUAUAUUGUCUGACCCUCUCAGGAACAGAGAAGGUGCCCAAGGAGGGGGAGAGGACCCACUAAAGUUCAUUAGAAUUGAAGUUAUGUAGGAUGAUUGGCUGGCUCAGUAUAUCUGUGGUGGGUUCUGAACCAGAUCUCAGCCCCCUAUGCCCUCCAGUGCCCUUCCCACGGCACCAGCCCACUUCCUCAUCCUCUAAGAGUCAUGUCUCCAUAGCUUCCUGCACUUCCUUGCUCAACAGCCUCACCGAACCUCUACUAGAGUGUGGGUUACUCCUCCAGUGUUCCUUCUUCCAUGCUAGACUGUAAGCUCUCCAAGAAUAGAAAUGAAGACUCAAAUUUCCUAUAAAUUCCCACACAGAAGAAUGUGUAAAAGCUUGAGCAUCCCAGGGACUGUCGAAAGAUCUCCAGCUAUAACCUUCUAUUUAACUAGGACUGUUACUAUUAUUACCUAUAUACAGUGUGCCUGAGGUCCUAAGAACAGAGAGAUACUCUUUGGAGGCCAGAAGCCACCUGAGAAAAACACCAUUUUGGUGACUUUUCUCCAAAUGUACCCAAAGGCCUGGGUUCCUGUCAUGUGAUGUUUUUCCCUCCUUCUUAAGGGAAGAGAGGAUAUUAAUAAAGAUCACUAAUCUCAAGCAAGGCAGACCAAAUUCACAAGGAUCUUUCCCAUAAAAUGUCUGCAUAUCUGAAUGAAGGAAAAAGGAGUACUGUUCUAUUUUUUUAAUUUCUUUGAAGUACAUCUUUUUGUAUAAAGAAAUUUGCUCUUUGAUUCCAAAUAAGGCACAAGUAAGUAGAAGAAGGAUUUCUCCAUGAACCCACAAUUCCCACCCUGGGAAGGUGGAAUUAUGGUGCCCCAGAGAUGUCCACAUCCUAAUCCGCAGAGCCCAUGAAUAUGUUACCUUACAUCACAAAAGGGACUCUGUGGAUGUGAUUAACGUUAAGGACCUUGAGAUGGAGAGACUAUCCUGGAAUAUCCAGAUGGGCUUGAUGUAGUCACAACACUCCUUCAAAGCAAAUAACCUUUCUUGGAUGUGACCAGAAGACAGCAAUGUGGCUGGCUCUGAAGAUGGAAAAGGGGGACGUGCAUGAAGGAAUGCAGGCGGCCUCUAGAAACCCCAAAAGGCAAAAAGAUGUAUCCUCUCCUAGAGCCUUCAGAAAGGAAUACAGUCUUCCUGACACCAGGUCACUGAGACCCAUGUCAGACUUCUAAACAGCAGCCGGGUAAUAUGUCCGUGUCAUUUUAAAAUUAUUUGCUAUGGCACAAAAUAGAAAACUGAUACAGGACAGUAAUAAAGAGUCAAGGAAGCCCUUCUCAGUGCUGGAGGGAUGGAAUAACCUGCUUGAGCAGGCACUUUCUGGGCUAUUAGGCUCAGGACAAGCCCCUGGUGUGCCUCAGACCACCAAUUCCAAGCUAAGAAUUAUUGCACUGUGUCCAGAUGCUUCUCUCUUCAGACAGCAGACUGAACGUGGGGUGGGGCCAUCCGAUUAAGGACAUGGGGCAGGGAUCUCACCCACCUCUCUGCCUUGUUCAGUGCCGAUAGGCAUAGAGAAAUGUAUCUUCGUGAAUGAAAGCAAUUUGGACACUACAAGAGACCUACAAUAAGGGGAGCAUAAAAGUCUUAGAUCUUUAUCAUAUGAUGAGCAGAAAAAGGGAGGUUUUCUCACUAGCCUAUCUGGUCUCGGAAGUCAACAAAUUAGAAUUCUGAAAAGGUGCAUGAUUUGCCUGGGGUCAUCUAGUAAACUAGGGAGAAAAAGAGACCAGGGGCACAAUUCUUGACCCUUUGCCAUCUGCAUUGUAUCAGCCUGCAGUAAGAACUGGAAAAUCCACUAUAGAGGCAGAAGGGAGGCCCAUAGCCCAGACUCUUAGAGCAUAAACUAGUACUUUGAGCACAGCAACCUAAUGCAAGAAAAGGUGCAUGACCAUGUGCAGAAGCUGUUGAUGAACUUACAGAUGGCCCCUCCAUCGUGUGAUUUCAUCCUGCACUCCCCGUGGGGACAGAGCCCCUUUCUGUGGAGAGGAAAACUAUGCCCAACGUACGGAUGAGUUAUCCAUGCAGCUCAUGCCAUCAUUCUCUGCAAAGGCAGAGAACUGGAACGGAAAAGAACAGAGGCUUGAAAUUUGGAAGGAGUAUUUGGAUCUUGACCUGGCACCACAGGAGAGAGCUGGAAGCGAGCCUUGGCCAGGAACUUGACCUGUGGAAACCUCAGUUUGCUCGUUAUGAAACAGGGAUAAUAGUGCACGCUUUGCAAAGUGACUCUAAGGAUUGAUUCACUCAGUAAACUAUGAAAUGAAAUUAUACAUAUGCACGGAAUGUCCUACAGCCAAUAUUCCAUAAAAGGUUUCUCACCUGGCCCUUUAUAGACUUUCCCCUAACAUCGGAAAAGAAAGCUUGAUGAAACACGUGUUGUCUAAGAAAAGGCUUGUAUUUGUGCUGUGCAAAUUCCAAGGAUCAGUGGCCCUGGCCCCCAAAGGGAUGGGCCUGACGCCAGUUUGUACAGGGUCUUAGUCUGUUUCUCUCCCUUUCCCGAAUCCCUGUUCACAGUGAUUGUGGACUCACAGCGCCAUCUCGUGGGAAACUGUGGACUUUCCUUUUCUUUUGCCCAACUAGAAAAUGCAGCAAACACCUCAUCUCUGCCAGACACACAGCCUACAAAGACCUAAAACACUUUCCUGAUUUUACUUAAAAAUAAGCAAAAUGCCUAGCUGAGGACAUGUGCAUGGCCACAACUAAGAAAAGGAAAAGGAGAAGUCCAUUUAGCCUGCCCGGCGAGAUCCCAGGCUGUGUUCCCCGGGGAGCAGGGAGAAGGAGCCUCGGGGAGUACCUGGAGAGGACUCCUGGAGGAGAAGGCAGAGCCUUCUCAGAGGAGAAGAACGAGCCACGGGUGCCAUCCAUUGAACACACCUGGGCUGCGUGCUCUUGUAGAUGCUCUACGUGUACCAACUCAUUUAACCUUCCCAAACACUGAGCACCGCAGGAAAGCUGCUCUCCAACCCCAGGAGGUCUGAAUGCAAGUUCUUAACUACUCAGCGAUGACUGCUGGUUACUACUAGCUACCAGUCAGUCGCCUGCAGUUUAAGUCAGAGAGAGGCAGCGGCUGAGACGGGCUGCAGUCCACAUUCCCCGACUCCAGAUUCCCAGCUUCCAUAUCAAGAAAAUGCCUUUUGUUCAACUAAGCCACGGCCAACGGACAGGAUAUUUAUAAACCAAGUUGUAAUAGCAAGCAGGUGAGGCGGGGCGGGGUGG